rnacentral:snoRNA from 1 species
GUUGAGGUCUAUUCCGAUGGGGCUUUUUCUGUAAACCUACAUUGUUGGAAACGCCUCACAGAGUAACCAUCUGGUUUUCCGUACUCACAGCACAUGUGCGGAGGAGCCAUAGACUGAGCUGCUAAAGAAAC